rnacentral:rRNA from 1 species
ACCGAGUUCAUGCCCUCACGGGUAGAUCUCCCACCCUAUGUUAUCAUUACCUUUGUUGCUUUGGCGGGCCGCCAGGCUUCGGCUAGGCUACCGGCUCCGGCUGGUAAGCGCCCGCCAGAGGACCCCAAACUCUGAAUGUUAGUGUCGUCUGAGUACUAUCUAAUAGUUAAAACUUUCAACAACGGAUCUCUUGGUUCUGGCAUCGAUGAAGAACGCAGCGAAAUGCGAUAAGUAAUGUGAAUUGCAGAAUUCAGUGAAUCAUCGAAUCUUUGAACGCACAUUGCGCCCCUUGGUAUUCCGAGGGGCAUGCCUGUUCGAGCGUCAUUACAACCCUCAAGCACUGCUUGGUAUUGGGCUCCGCUGCUAACCCAGCGGGCCUUAAAACGAGUGGCGGCGCCCUCAGGCUCUGAGCGUAGUAAAUCUCCUCGCUAUAGAGUCCUGGUGGUGGUAGUCAUCAACCCCCAACUUUCUAAGUUUGACCUCGGAUCAGGUAGGGAACCCGC